rnacentral:rRNA from 1 species
GACGAACGCUGGCGGCGUGCUUAACACAUGCAAGUCGAACGGAAAGGCCCUGCUUUUGUGGGGUGCUCGAGUGGAGACCGGGUGAGUAACACGUGAGUAACCUGCCCUUGACUUUGGGAUAACUUCAGGAAACUGGGGCUAAUCCCGGAUAGGAGCUACUGCUGCAUGGUGGGGGUUGGAAAGUUUAGGCGGUUGGGGAUGGACUCGCGGCUUAUCAGCUUGAUGGUGGGGUAGUGGCUUACCAAGGCUUUGAAGGGUAGCCGGCCUGCGAGGGUGACCGGCCACGUUAGGACUGGGAUACGGCCCAGACUCCUACCGUAGGCAGCAGUGGAGAGUAUUGCACAAUGGGCGGAAGCCAGGUGCAGCAACGCCGCGUGCGGGAUGACGUCCUUCGGUUUGUAUACCGCUUUCGCCUGUGACGAAGCGUUAGUGACAGUAAUGGGUAAAUAAGCACCGGCUAACUACGUG